rnacentral:lncRNA from 1 species
CCUAAGAAGCUGGCAUCGAAGUUGUUAGAAGAGUUAUUGGAAUGGGACUAACAGGAGAUGGUUGCCAGAGAAGGAUCCUGAAACUGUUAUCACAGCUAUACAAGGUCAAAUGAAGGGCAUAACCUUGGCAUGAAGAGGAAUUGGUAGAGGAGGGCUGAGCUACGGUCGAUGACCUUGGAGACAGAAUGCUGGUGAUAGAAUAGUGAAGCACAGCGCAGUGUUUAACUUGUCCGGACAUAGGUAAGAAAUCAGAUCCUGGCUCCGAGCCAUCAUACGAGGCGUGAGCCCACAGGCUGACUGUCAGCGGUGAAAAGGACUUUGCUGACUUCCAGAUAGGACAGAAGGAGGUAGGAUCCCAUCCGUGGUGCCUCAGAAGGUGGUGGAGGGGCGCAUUCUUAUGUGUUCACGGAACACUUCAGCUCAUGGUUACAGGUGGAUAUUUGCAUAUGAAUUAUCCAGCACAUGGUUUCGGGUGUAUGUGUGUGUGUGUGUGUGUGUGUGUGUGGUGUCCAUUUGUAUAUGAACUCUUUGGCUUACACCUGCAGCCCUAUAGUUCUUGCUUUUUUUUUUUUUUAAAUGAAAGUGAAUGCCCAAUCUUUAAACACUGUAAGUUCUGGUCGAAAGUGGAAAUAACUGGGAAGGAUCUGGGGACAUUAGUCCCAUAGCGUGGAAGCAGACACUACACUCUCCUUGGCAAGCCAUUGCAUGCACAGACGACACCUUAGUUCAGCCUCUGCUUGCAACUUAGAGCAGACACUGUUGCUAGAAUGUACUGGUCUCUUGACCUGAGGAAACCAUGAGGUGAUAAAUCCACGUUGCUUCAGCCAUCAAGCUUGUGGCACGGUGUUAUUUGGUGACAGAGAGUGACCAAGGAGUGAAAACAACAUACCUCCAAAACAGGGUUUCGUCAGCUAGUUAAGGCUAAACAAAGAACGUCCGAAAUAAAACAAAAGGUCGUGGUAUGUUUUAAGACUCUUUAAAAACCUUCAAUUACCCAGAAUAAACCACCUGGUCUCAGGCUGACAAGAAGGUCGGGCAACUGCAGCUGCUAAAAGCCAAACUCAGUGUAUUGGCUAGGUGCUAAUAUGCCUUUAUUGGGGUCUAUAACUUCAAAAUUAAGUUUUCAGAACCUGGGCAGAUUGAAUGUCAUUGACUUCUCUCGUCUUUGAGGAUGAGAUAUUAGAAGCCUGUGAAUUCUGACAGCUGUUUAAAAGUGGAGUUCCUGGAUUUCACGACAUUUUGUUAACAAUGUGUAAAGAUCGGCCCUAAAGCCAAUCUGUGCCGGGCUGCCUAGAGCAGGCUCACUGUAUGCCUGUCUAAUGAGGAAAUGGUCACAGGGAUGUUGAUGGCAGUCAGACCCCUUCACCACUGUCGGCCUUCUCUGCUUGGUGACAAAGACUCUGGGCUGUGUCUGUAGCACACGUGUUCCUCUGAUGGCCUCAUUUAGGAUACUGUUGAAAUAAAGCUUGCUACAGCAAUGCCCAAUGGCACGACUCAUAAUUAGUCUGAAUAACAUUUUCCAUUUUAAACCCUGAUUUUUUUUAUGGGAUUUACUGCUUGGCCCAUAAAAUCUCGUUCUAAACCGAGACCUGGCAUAAUUUUUAGCAUAAGCAAAUAUACCGUAGCUAUAAAUCACGAGCUCCAGUCUUGACCCUAGAAGGUGAAGAGCAAGCUCACGUGA